rnacentral:rRNA from 1 species
AUUGAACGCUGGCGGCAUGCCUUACACAUGCAAGUCGAACGGUAACAGGUCUUCGGAUGCUGACGAGUGGCGAACGGGUGAGUAAUACAUCGGAACGUGCCUAGUAGGGGGGGAUAACUACUCGAAAGAGUGGCUAAUACCGCAUGAGAUCUACGGAUGAAAGCAGGGGAUCGCAAGACCUUGUGCUACUAGAGCGGCCGAUGGCAGAUUAGGUAGUUGGUGGGAUAAAAGCUUACCAAGCCGACGAUCUGUAGCUGGUCUGAGAGGACGAUCAGCCACACUGGGACUGAGACACGGCCCAGACUCCUACGGGAGGAAGCAGUGGGGAAUUUUGGACAAGGGGCGCAAGCCUGAUCCAGCAAUGCCGCGUGCAGGAUGAAGGCCUUCGGGUUGUAAACUGCUUUUGUACGGAACGAAAAGCCCUGGGUUAAUACCCUGGGGUCAUGACGGUACCGUAAGAAUAAGCACCGGCUAACUACGUGCCAGCCGCCGCGGUAAGAC